rnacentral:rRNA from 1 species
UAGGGAAUCUUCGGCAAUGGGCGCAAGCCUGACCGAGCGACGCCGCGCGCGAGAUGAAGGCCUUCGGGUUGUAAAUCGCUGUCAGUGGGGAGGAAAUGCCGGUGGGUUCUCCCAUCGGUUUGACCUAUCCGCAGAGGAAGGACGGGCUAAGUUCGUGCCAGCAGCCGCGGUAGGACGAACCGUCCAACCGUUAUUCGGAAUCACUGGGCUUAAAGGGUGCGUAGGCGGCCCGGAAAGUUGGGUGUGAAAGCCCUCGGCUCAACCGAGGAACAGCGCCCAAAACUGCCGGGCUUGAGGAAGACAGAGGUGAGCGGAACUUAGGGUGGAGCGGUGAAAUGCGUUGAUAUCCGAAGGAACACCAGUAGCGAAAGCGGCUCACUGGGUCUUUUCUGACGCUGAUGCACGAAAGCUAGGGGAGCAAAGA